rnacentral:rRNA from 1 species
GGGUCAGUAGGUUGGUCGUGCCACCGGUACGUACUGGUCUCACUGAUUCCCCCUUCCUGAAGAACCGUAAUGCCAUUAAUUUGGUGUUGCGGGGAAACAGGACUGUUACUUUGAAAAAAUUAGUUUGUUUAAAGCAAGCUAACGCUUGAAUACAUUAGCAUGGAAUAAUGAAAUAGGACGAUCGAUCCUAUUUUGUUGGUUUCUAGGAUUGACGUA